AAAUUAGUGUGCGAAAUCUCCAGUGACCUCCUCCCCUUCUCCCCAUACUCUUUAGCCAAGCUGAACAGCCUCUGCUGUAAAGUAUUCAUUUUAUCCAGGGACAAGCUGGACAAUAGAACUCUCCCUGAUACUUAUGGACAGCUGUCGUCAUUCAUAGUGCUCUCAGUAUUUCAUUUUUCAUAGGAGUUAAAAGGGUUUUUACCUUGUAACUGAAAGAGGGCAUAAAUGCAACUUUGCCAGUUCUGGAGCUUCUGGGGCAGGGGGUGGGAUGGAAGUGGGGUGACUUUGGAGUUAGGAGAAGCUGCUAAAGAAAGCAAUUCUUUUUUGUCUUGCUAAUAUGAUUAAACUAAGACAGAAAUUAAAUUCUAAAUCUGGGUUCCUUGCAAACAGAAAAUAUCUUCGAUUCCAAAAGUUUCCUAAAAUUAAGGUCACCAGUGCCAGCUAGAUCAUUCAUCUCCGCCCACUCUACCCUUGUUUUGGCUAAAUAUGCAUGCAUUUUAUUACCUGUGAAUAACCACCCGUAAAUAGUAAGCCUGUGAGAUACCUCGGUAGUCCCAUAUUUUUUUUCUUUUUUUAGUGAUUUACUGCAAAUAUAUUCAGCAUUUGACUGAUUAAAUAGACCUUCGGCAACCUUGAGGGUCACUGUGUAGAGUAUGUACAUAGAAAAUGCAUCAGCCCAUUGUACCCUGGCAGCUAAUGAGAUUGGUCGUUAAGUAAAUGACACAAAGCCUACAAAAAAAGCUUAGCAGCUCACUAGAGUAUCACAGAGUGUCCCUGCACACCACACAACGACACAAACACUGGACUAACCUAGCCCACCCCUGCUUUAUUCUACAUCACUGCUUCCCUGAUGUCAGCGUGAGAGGCAGAACAAAGGCUAGGAGGCACGGAGCCUUAAAUUUUGUGAGAUUCCUUGAAGAAUUGUGA
rnacentral:lncRNA from 1 species